rnacentral:misc_RNA from 1 species
AAGUCGUAACAAGGUAACCGUAGGUGAACCUGCGGUUGGAUCAUUACCAAUUGUGUUUUCUUUUUUGGAUGCGUGGUCUUAAUAGGCCCCGUUCAAAAAGAAACUCAUUUUCCCCCCACUGUGAACUGUUUUCUGUUAUUUGGCAGCCCUCCAAUUGGGAGGAGUUGGCAUUUGCGUUCGAGGUUGUUUGCAUGAGAUUGUUGAGAGAGUCAGCUCAAUCGGCUCCUCUUUUUUGAUCUCACUGCCAUUCACCUUGUUCUGUGUGUGCCGCUUUUCUUUGGGCUGUCGUCACUCUGUUAACACACGUGUAAUCACAACACUCUGAUAGUCAAACUUAGUGCUUAUUGAAAGAAAGGGUUACCCCCGACUCUCUGUAAACUCUAAAAACAAUGUAAAUCAUUUAUAAACAACUUUUGACAACGGAUCUCUUGGCUCUC